AAAGUACUCCCUUCGUCCCAAAAUUCUUGUCUUAGAUUUGUCUAGAUAUGGAUGUAUCAAGUCACAUUUUAGUAUUAGAUACAUCCGUAUCUGGACAAAUCUAAGACAAGAAAUUUGGGACAGAGGGAGUAGUUG
rnacentral:pre_miRNA from 1 species